rnacentral:sRNA from 1 species
UGUGGCUGUUUGUCUCCUUGCCUGCCAAAGUUCUGCCCAGUUCAACGACUCCACGCAGCUCGCCCUUGGCGAACAGUUGUCUCCAAACGUGGUGUUGCCGUCAGUGGUCCCACCAAGAGGAGGGGAAUGGCAGAUUCACUGGAGUCAACCCCCUUGCCUUCCCUCGAAGAUCGUCUGGCCAAACUCUGUCCUUCUAAGGAGCUCCUGGAAUAUUUUCAAAGGAAGAUGGCUGAGUGUGAGGCAGAAAAUGAGGACUUGCUGAAGAAACUGGAACUCUACAAAGAAGCUUGUGAAGGACAGCAUAAACUUGAAUGUGAUUUGCAGCAGAGGGAGGAAGAGAUUGCUGAAUUGCAGAAAGCUCUAAGUGAUAUGCAGGUCUGCCUCUUCCAGGAACGGGAACAUGUUUUACGCCUCUACUCAGAAAAUGACCAACUGAGAAUCAGGGAGCUAGAAGACAAGAAAAAGAUUCAGAAUCUCUUGGCUCUUGUGGGAACAGAUGCUGGAGAAGUGACCUAUUUUUGUAAGGAGCCUCCUCACAAAGUCACCAUUCUCCAAAAGACUAUCCAGGCUGUAGGUGAAUGUGAGCAGAAUGAAUCUUCAGCUUUCAAAGCAGAUCCUAAAAUAAGCAAAAGAAGACCAUCGAGAGAGAGAAAAGAAAGUUCUGAGCAUUACCAAAGAGACAUACAGACACUCAUCCUACAGGUGGAAGCACUGCAGGCUCAGCUGGGAGAGCAGACCAAACUUUCUCGAGAACAAAUUGAAGGGCUCAUGGAGGAUAGACGGAUUCACCUUGAGGAAAUACAAGUUCAGCACCAGAGAAAUCAGAACAAAAUCAAAGAGCUAACCAAAAACGGGUCAUAGAACUAAAGGGAGCCUUGAAAAAAUUGUGUUCCUCAGAAACCCCUGCCUCUACGUAGGUGAGUAU